UAGGGAAUUUUCGCCAAUGGGGGGAACCCUGAACGAGCAAUGCCGCGUGUGUGAAGAAGGUCUUCGGAUCGUAAAGCACUGUUGUAAGUGAAGAAUGCCACAUAGAGGAAAUGCUAUGUGGGUGACGGUAGCUUACUAGAAAGCCACGGCUAACUACGUGCCAGCAGCCGCGGUAAUACGUAGGUGGCAAGCGUUAUCCGGAAUCAUUGGGCGUAAAGGGUGCGUAGGUGGCACGAUAAGUCUGAAGUAAAAGGCAACAGCUCAACUGUUGUAUGCUUUGGAAACUGUCGAGCUAGAGUGCAGAAGAGGGCGAUGGAAUUCCAUGCGUAGCGGUAAAAUGCGUAGAUAUAUGGAGGAACACCAGUGGCGAAGGCGGUCGCCUGGUCUGUAACUGACACUGAUGCACGAAAGCGUGGGGAGCAAAUAGGAUUAGAUACC
rnacentral:rRNA from 1 species